GAGUGGGAGAAGAGCUAGAGCUAAGAGCCAGAGGAGGAGGACUCCAGGGACCAGCCACCUAGCCACACAGCGAGCCACGGAGAAAGAGCAAUAUUUACAGAAGUAGGAGAACUGGAAAAGCCCAGAGGCAAAAGGUAAAGGGGAUAAUUUAAGAUAAGGAAAGCUGGCUAGAAACUAAGCCAAGCUAAGGCUGGGCAUUCAUAAGUAAGA